rnacentral:lncRNA from 1 species
UCGUGCGGGUAUUACCGCUUUACAGAUGUUCUACGUAUAUAUGUACUAAAAAGUAAAGAGGGAAGUGGUCUAGAAAUUUUUGGGUGUUCUAUUCAAUACACUCUUCCCUUGAGGCUCCAUCAUCCUCAUCAAUACACGGCUUUUUGUUAAUAUAUGGAGGAGGUUUUUUAGGUGGGACGGUUACUUCCAUGAUAUCCUCCUCAUCGUUAUUAUUGUCACUGGACUCUUUGUGGGGUAGCUCAUCACUAAAUUGACUUUUCUGGCUUUGUUUCUGACUACUAACUAUCGAAAUGAUAUCUGAAAUGAAGUCAAUAGACAAUUCUUUUAAAUCAAUUUGACAGUCAUCAAUAUAUGAAUCAUUCAAGUUACUUUCAGUUCUUUUUUUGUCAUCCUUAAAUCCAAGAUCAUUCAAUUGGUCAAAAAUUUGUUUUCGAUUAUCCUCAAGUAAAUUCAUCAUCAGGAUCUUAGUGAGAAACAAAGGGGACUCAAUGAGUUUUUUAAGAUAUUUAGGAUCUUUUCUGGCAAUCUAAGCUUAGAAUAAGUUCAGAAAAGACUGUUCAGUAACUUGAAUUUUCUUCUUACCUCCAUCAUUAGAAGAAUGAUCGGAUGACUUGAUAGUUGUAUCGUUGGAUUUUGUUUCAUACUGACUCCCAGUAUCGGGGCUGAAUGUUUCUUUCUCCAUAACAUUAAUUAUAUCGACGCCCUGUGUUGGAACUAUAAGCUACUUAUAAUAAUAUUAUUAAAUGCUAAUUAUUUUAAUUUUUGAUUCAAUAUUAUUUAACAAGUAUUUAUUGUAGAUUUCUAUCCAAAUAAAAACAAAUUAAUCUUG